GCCUUCGUGGUGUAACGGUAGCACGGUGCAUAUUCAAGAGGUCCAGGUUCGAGUCCUGGUGAGGGCA
rnacentral:tRNA from 1 species